rnacentral:rRNA from 1 species
CAGCCGCCGCGGUAACACGUAGGGUGCAAGCGUUAAUCGGAAUUACUGGGCGUAAAGCGUGCGCAGGCGGUUAUAUAAGACAGAUGUGAAAUCCCCGGGCUCAACCUGGGAACUGCAUUUGUGACUGUAUAGCUAGAGUACGGCAGAGGGGGAUGGAAUUCCGCGUGUAGCAGUGAAAUGCGUAGAUAUGCGGAGGAACACCGAUGGCGAAGGCAAUCCCCUGGGCCUGUACUGACGCUCAUGCACGAAAGCGUGGGGAGCAAACAGGAUUAGAUACCCGGGUAGUCCCUGUCUCUUAUAC